rnacentral:lncRNA from 1 species
AAAGGAGCUUGUGGGUGCCACUGCAUUUGGUUCUCAGUGACUGUUCUCUGUCUAGUCUCACUUUCCUAUUUUCUACUUUCUUAUUUUUACUCUAUUUUUGAUGAGCUGUUAUUACCCUUUGUUUGGUGGUUUCGUUAUCUUUUGUUCGGUGAUCUCCUCUCACCUCAUACUUGGUUUGUUUCUUUUACAGGCUCUUUCCUUGUCUUCUUUCACUCUCUGCUGUGCACAUCUUUCAUCCUUCUCUUCUUCUGCAUCUUCUCCCAGGGCCAAAGUUCCAUAGCACUCUGAUUAUCCACAUGACAGUAAUUUCUGUAUUAGCACCAGUUACUCUGGUCAGCCCUUGUGCACUUUGAGGAGAAGCAAGCCUGGGCCUGUCUGAUCCACCCACAUGUGAUCUUUUCACAUGAUCCACCCACAUUCUACAAGCAAACCAGUAAACCUUUGGCAUGAACACUCUGAUGAGCACGCUUCAGCUUUCACAGCAACAACACCCAUUGCCCCAGAAGAAGAAAGAAGAGAAAAAAAGAGCUCACAGCACAGCAUCUGGGCUGAAUUAAAUCAGGCUACAAAAGUAUCCAGGCAACUGAGUCCAGCGCGCUGCCAGAGAUCCAGGGCUAUCAUUUUGUCUCUUGCCUCAUUUUUAUCCUCCUUCAAGCAAAAAAAGACUUUUAAGAAGAUGAGGGAUAAUGAUCAUUGGAUCGAGCAUCUGAUGGCCGUGGCAGAUUAAAUGAGGAGGGCAGAAUCCUCCAUGAUGCAUCUGACUCCAGAUUGGAACAGAGCACUGCUGGCUCCUCUCAGACUUAAAAGUUUUCUUUGCCUGCUUGCCU